GAAAGCGGCUGCGUGGCACGGGGACGGCCGGGGGGGCAUCCCCACCAACACCCCACACUGCCCUCACACACAUAGAGACCCUCCCUCCCGUCCCGGAGCUCGCUGAAGAGAUCCUCAACCCACCGCCGGAGCCCCACGGGGCCACGCUGCCACACGGACACUAUGGGGACAAGAAAGGCUCGAGCUGCGUAUCCAGAGAGUCUGGACUUCCAGGACCCACAGCAGUUUUGCCAGUGGGAGGUAUUCUGCACAGAGAACAACACCCCUCCUGUGUAGAUGAGGUCCCUGCAGCUCUGUGCCUGAGCUCCAGGCUGGUCUCUGCACCGAGGUUAUGAUGUGGGGGCACAAACAGCCAAGAUCACAUUUUUAGUACCAAAUAUAAUGUUUAUUUUUCCGUCUUUUGUCCAUACAGAGUGUCUGAUAUCACAGUGCUACCAAAGCACCAUUACUCCACAGCUGCAGAGCCACAAGAAACAGCUUUAUAUUAAAGGGAACGAUGACAAGAAAACAAAAGCCCUUGGGCAAGGCUCCAGCUCACAUAUCCUGAUCUCUCCCUCAUUCUGCAGCUUUCUGGAGCUGUGGAAUGCAGCCACCCACAUUUGGCUGUUCAAUGGUGACCCAUCCCUGCCACCAGCCUGGUGGGACUCUUGCCACCCUGGUGUGGCAGUGCUAUGGCCCCCAGCCCCACAAGCACCAAGAAAACAGAGGGAUGGAUGGAUGCUUGAAUUGUGCCACCACCCUUUUUAACCCCUUAUUCCCCUGCAGGAGUAGGGGCAGGGCCAAGCAUUGCUCCUGGCAGACCCCUGGAGCACCCAGCCCUGAGCGCAACACUACCAGCACCCUCUGCUCAGCCCCAUCCCGCCCCUCUGCUGUUCCAGGCUGAGCAGAAGCCCCCUGCUUUGUGACCAGCCUUUGUCUCUUCCACGCACAGACCUCAUAUACACUGGCACAUACCUCUUCCCAAGGGCCUCUCAGCAGCUCGGGCAGCUCCUGAGCUGUUAGCAACUCCACUUCACGCACUGCUGGCUUUACAUGCCAGAACUCAGCACCUGCAAUGGGACAGAGAUAAUAAGCACAAAGGGAAGCUGCAAGGUGGAAUCAUGCCCUGCGCAAAGCAAGAACAACAGCGGCUGGAUGGGCUGACCCAGCGCCGUUCAGACUUCUGUUACAAUUUCCCAUUGUAAUGGGAAAACAUCCCAGCAAUACUCAGAACAGCACAAAAUCUGAGUUGCCUUUUCCCCAGCCUAGCACGGAUGGAUGGAAAUGAGAAGGCAUGACCCGACUCAGAGCAGCACUGCAGCCCCACUUGGGGAGGGCAGCCCUGUGCCCUGGCUCUCCCUUGGCAGCUGAGUCACUGCCCUGCUCUGCCCCUGACCCCGCACUGCACGCGCCUGCCAAGCCCCAUUGCACAGAGCGGAACAUUCACGCUCUUGGGUGCGACAGCAGCCAGGCCCAGAUGACGCGGGGCUGUUGCAGAUCACUCCAUUACCUCAUCGUUGCAAAUAUGUUGAAUUAAAGUAACAACACAACUCAGAGUCCGAGUGGGAGCUGGAACAUGAAAUGGGGCUCAAACAACCAAAAGAGCAAAGGGCUUCCUGAAAUCUCCUGCAGUCCGACUGCCCUCUGCCAUAGUUUAAACAUAAUGCCCAACUUGAGCAGCUGGUGAUCCCAGUGCUCUCCUCAAGGGUGCCUCCAUCUCAUCUUCUCUCUGCUCUUGUGCAUGUUUAUUGAUUCUGGAGAGCAGGCAGCAUCCUUCCAUAGCUUGGGAGCUAGCAGCAGGCUUUCAUUUGAUGCAAGAGAUGAAAUCCUUAGAAACAGUGGAGGGAAACACCUUCAGAUCAGCUGUGCUCCAGCCUGCCAUCCUCUGGAGCUGUUGUUAGUGGGAAGGAAGAAGUUCCCACCACAGGAUCGGGGCUGGAAUAGACACUGUGUUCAAUGGGAGCAAACCCCCAAGGGGGAAGUGUAAGUCCUGCCUGGGGGCUGCCAGUGCCAAUAUGAUGGGACUGACCAAUCUAUUUUUCCUGACCAACCCCGUGACCUUCUGUAAUGAUGAAACUGCACCAGAGGACAAAGGAAGAGUCACUGAUGUCGUCUCUUUGGACUUCAGUAUGGCCUUUGACAAAAUUAUUUGAGUCCACGAUUCCACAAACAAAGGAAAAGGCAAAAUGAAAUGUUGGGGAUGCUCCGUGGGCCCCACGGAGCUCCCACGGCUGGGACACGGCUGGUGGCACACAGUGAGGACAGCAUGGCAGCAGGGCUGGCUGAGCACAGCGAACGUGUAGAACCUCCAUGCAGACACCAAGCAAGGAAGAUACAGCCUUGCAUUUGGGAGGGGGUGGUGUAAGGGAAGGGAGUGCUUAGGAAUAUAAAGCAGCAGCUGAACUGCUGCACAGACAAGAGAAAUUAACUCUUGCAAGGCUGAAAACCUUUCAUUAGCAAUUUGUCAAGCAGACUCCAGAAAUACUGAAAGCAGCUGUGCAAAACCACACGGGAGGGACAGACAAUAGGUUUAAAGGCCUUUCAGAGACUCUGCUGAUGGACUACGGUGAACCCAGCACGUGUCUUCCUGCACUGCAGGGGCACAGAGAUGGGAGAGCAGCUCCAAGGCUGCGCAUCCCAUGGGAGAGCAGCAGAGGAAAGCUGCUCCAGGCAAAGCAACAGCCUUCAACAGCCCCAUAUUUACCACCUCCCUUCCGUGUCUGCUAACACAAUGUCCCCUGCACAGUGUGGGCACUUCUAUGUGCUGGGUGUGCCUGCACCCUGUGCAGAGGGAUGCUGCUCUCCUAUCAGCAAUGUACCGAGGGGGGACCAAGCUCUGGGUCUGUGCAGACAACACAGAGAGCAUUCACAGCUGCCAGGCAGGCUUUGUGCGUUGAUCCCCUUGGGGCUCCAGCAGUGGACAGCGGGAGAGAUAUCCCAGCAGCUGGACUGCAGCGCAGCCAGGGCUGUGAAAGCAGUCGCCUGUGUUCAAUGGGCUUCUUGUCUCCAUCCUCCCUUUGGCACAGCCUCCCCUCCCUGACAGCCUUCUCUCCCCGGCAUAAGCCAGGGCAUAGCUGCCCUCCUGGCAGGUCUCAAAUCCUCCCUCCCCCCUCCAACAUCUUCUUUCCCCAGCAGUGUUUUCUCAUAUCCUCCCACCUUUUCCUUCCAUAAAUGUACUCAGUUGCUUUUUUGAGCCAUGUAACCUGUAAACACCCCCAGCAUCCUGUAUGGAGGAGUGCUGUGAAAUUACAGCUUUGCGUUUAAGCCUUCUCCACCUCGCCUCAUUCAUGCCUCAAAGUGUCUGUGGCAGGCACACAAACACCUCCAGUGAAUGACUUCAUAUAGAUCCUUUGUGUCCCUCUUCUGCAUUAAGCACUCCCAGGUCUACCCAGCCAUCCUUGCUGCACUUUUCCAGCUCAUUAUGUCUCCCCUCGGGCAGAGGAUCCAGCACUGCAGGCAGCAUCCAAGAUGCAGGCACACAGCACAUUUAAGACUAAAAAAAGCCACUGCUGUGCCAUGCCCUGAUGGCUUCUCCUUCCUUUCCUUCCCAGGGAUUCCUACGUCUCACUUGGGGCCAUUCCUGGAGACACCCAAGGUCAGGCUGGACAGGGCCUCAGAGCACCUGAUGGAGCUGUAGGUAUCCUUGUUCAUUCACUGCAGGGCUGGAUGGCCCCGAAGGGACCCUUCC
ensembl:lncRNA